UGGGUAACCUGCCUCAAGGAGGGGAAUAGCCUCCCGAAAGGGAGAUUAAUACCGCAUAAUAUGUUUUGAUCGCAUGAUCGAGACAUCAAAGGAUUUUCUUCGGAAAUUCCACUUUGAGAUGGACCCGCGGCGCAUUAGCUAGUUGGAGAGGUAACGGCUCAUCAAGGCGACGAUGCGUAGCCGACCUGAGGAGGGUNAUCGGCCACAUUGGAACUGAGACACCGGGUCAACGUA
rnacentral:rRNA from 1 species